ensembl:misc_RNA Y_RNA Y RNA
GGCUGCUCUGAAGGUAGUGAGUUAUCUCAGUUGAUUUUCACAGUUAGCUACAGGUUGAACUUCUUGCUCUACUGUUUUCUCCCUUGUCACUUCUGUGCUUGAUUAGUCUUAA